rnacentral:rRNA from 1 species
AGACGAGGGAUCCUAGCGUUGUUCGGAAUUAUUGGGCGUAAAGCGGGUGUAGGUGGCUUGAUAAGUCAGGUGUGAAAGCCCAGGGCUUAACCCUGGAAGUGCAUUUGAUACUGUCGAGCUUGAGUGUAGGAGAGGUUACUAGAAUUCUUGGUGUAGUGGUGAAAUACGUAGAUAUCAAGAGGAAUACCAGAGGCGAAGGCGGGUAACUGGCCUAACACUGACACUCAGACCCGAAAGACGUGGGGAGUC